rnacentral:rRNA from 1 species
UACGUAGGGUGCGAGCGUUGUCCGGAAUUAUUGGGCGUAAAGAGCUCGUAGGCGGUCUGUCGCGUCGAUCGUGAAAACUUGGGGCUUAACCCUGAGCUUGCGGUCGAUACGGGCAUGACUGGAGUUCGGCAGGGGAGACUGGAAUUCCUGGUGUAGCGGUGAAAUGCGCAGAUAUCAGGAGGAACACCGAUGGCGAAGGCAGGUCUCUGGGCAUUAACUGACGCUGAGGAGCGGAAAGCAUGGGGAGCGAACAGG